rnacentral:rRNA from 1 species
AACGAACGCUGGCGGCAGGCUUAACACAUGCAAGUCGAACGGGCAUAGCAAUAUGUCAGUGGCAGACGGGUGAGUAACGCGUGGGAACGUGCCCUUUAGUUCGGAAUAACCAAGGGAAACUUUGGCCAAUACCGGAUAAGCCCGAGAGGGGAAAGAUUUAUCGCUGAAGGAGCGGCCCGCGUCUGAUUAGCUAGUUGGUGAGGUAAUGGCUCACCAAGGCGACGAUCAGUAGCUGGUCUGAGAGGAUGAUCAGCCACACUGGGACUGAGACACGGCCCAGACUCCUACGGGAGGCAGCAGUGGGGAAUAUUGGACAAUGGGGGCAACCUUGAUCCAGCCAUGCCGCGUGAGUGAUGAAGGCCUUAGGGUUGUAAAACUCUUUUAUCCGGGAAGAUAAUGACUGUACCGGAAGAAUAAGCCCCGGCUAACUUCGUGCCAGCCGCCGCCGUAAAAC